rnacentral:rRNA from 1 species
UACGAAGGGGGCUAGCGUUGUUCGGAAUUACUGGGCGUAAAGGGCGCGUAGGCUGUGCUGUAAGUCAGGCGUGAAAUCCCCGGGCUCAACCUGGGAAUUGCGCAUGAUACUGCGGCGCUUGAAGACGGGAGAGGAUGGCGGAAUUCCCAGUGUAGCGGUGGAAUGCGUAGAGAUCGGGAAGAACACCAGUGGCGAAGGCGGCUCGCUGGGCCAAUGCUGACGCUGAUGCGCGAAAGCGUGGGGAGCAAACAGG